AGAGUUUGAUCAUGGCUCAGAUUGAACGCUGGCGGCACGCCUAACACAUGCAAGUCGAGCGGUAGCAUGAUUAGUAGCAAUACUAAUUGAUGACGAGCGGCGGACGGGUGAGUAAUACGUAGGAACCUGCCCUUAAGCGGGGGAUAACUAAGGGAAACUUUAGCUAAUACCGCAUAAUCUCGAAAGAGUAAAGCUGCAGCAAUGUGGCACUUAAGGAGGGGCCUGCGUCAGAUUAGCUAGUUGGUGAGGUAAUGGCUCACCAAGGCGAUGAUCUGUAACUGGUCUGAGAGGACGACCAGUCACACUGGGACUGAGACACGGCCCAGACUCCUACGGGAGGCAGCAGUGGGGAAUAUUGGACAAUGGGGGCAACCCUGAUCCAGCGAUGCCGCGUGGGUGAAGAAGGCCUUCGGGUUGUAAAGCCCUUUAGGUCGGGAAGAAGGUUAGUGGAGGAAAUGCCAUUAAUUUGACGGUACCGACAGAAUAAGCACCGGCAAACUCUGUGCCAGCAGCCGCGGUAAUACAGAGGGUGCGAGCGUUAAUCGGAUUUACUGGGCGUAAAGGGCGCGUAGGCGGUGAGAUGUGUGUGAUGUGAAAGCCCCGGGCUUAACCUGGGAAGUGCAUCGCAAACUGUCUGACUGGAGUAAAUGAGAGGGUGGCGGAAUUUCCGGUGUAGCGGUGAAAUGCGUAGAGAUCGGAAGGAACGUCGAUGGCGAAGGCAGCCACCUGGCAUAAUACUGACGCUGAGGCGCGAAAGCGUGGGGAUCGAACAGGAUUAGAUACCCUGAUAGUCCACGCUGUAAACUAUGAGUACUAGAUGUUGGUAGGGGAACCUAUCGGUAUCGAAGCUAACGCGAUAAGUAUUCCGCCUGGGAAGUACGGCCGCAAGGUUGAAACUCAAAUGAAUUGACGG
rnacentral:rRNA from 1 species